rfam:Capsicum annuum cultivar Zunla-1 unplaced genomic scaffold scaffold2555, whole genome shotgun sequence
AGGAGCCGUAUGAGGUGAAAAUCUCACGUACGGUUCUGUAAUAGCGAUGGGCACAGUGAUGUUAUCAUCGACUAUGAU